rnacentral:lncRNA from 1 species
CAACCUCAGACCCAUGGCUACAUUUGCCACUAAGGAGGACACAAUUCCAUGCCCUCCUCCGAAGACUGGACGACAGAGGGGCCAAUGGUACCCCCCAGAAGCCCGAUCCCUCCCAGAGAGCCCGACCGGUUCCCGCCUCUUGACAGGUGCAAUCACCGAAUCAAUUGGUCUCCCUGAUCUAGAAUUGGGAUCCGAGAGCACCUUAAAGGUCCCCCGAUCAACCCCAUAAUGUCAGAGAUACUCUAUAGUUUAACAUUUUUAUAAGUUUAUUCAGGUAUUUUUAUUAUCCAUAAUUUGUGCAAUGUUAUCUUAGCAUUUAUGCAUUUUGAACUGAACUUUUUUACGAUGUAUAUAGGAGUUACUUUGUGAUCAAAGGUAUUGAUAAG